UGUGAAUUGCUUUAUAUUUCUGAUGUUGACAGUAAAAUGUCACAAUUGUCAAUAUUGAUAUUUGCUGCAAAUGACAAUGUUUCACUCUGCCCAUAAUGCAAUCUGAUAACAAGUGACAUCGUUGGAUGAAAAACAGUGAAUUUGGGUGAAGAGACUUUAAAGAGGCUCAAAUCAGAGACUUCAUUAAUCAGAGUAUGCUAUAUAGGUACAUAAAGUGCUUAAUGAUUGUGGUUUCCCACCUAGCUAUCUUAAGAUGAAUGCACAGAGAUGCUCUGGAUAAGAGUGUCUGCUAAGUGACUCUAAUGUGAAUGAUAAAACAUGAGUAUUACUUGCUAUAAUAUUUCCUAUAUUAAGAGUGUAAAAUACUGUAGUUGUAUGUGAAGAUGUGUAAUGCUUUAUGAGUAUAGUAAAGUUGUACGACACUGUGGAGCUGUAUGAGUGGUUCUGUUAACACAGUGUGUGCUCACUCUUGUGUGAAGGAGGUUGUUGUAUGGCGUCUUAACUAGACUGUAUCACUGUGGUUCACAUUCGGUGAAGGGACCAAACUGCUGCUGAAAAGAGCCAGUGUCUGGGCUAGGACCUACUGGAGGAGGCCUACAACAGGAGCUCUGUCUGGGGAUGCAGGAGUAGACGAGGCUCUGGUCUGGUCUGGGGCCUGGUUGGAGCAGUAGUAGUGUGUUAGAGUGUUAGAGUAGUAUAUUGAGUAAACUCUAGUACUGUUGGGGAGACCACAGUCCUGGGUAGUAAUGUGUAUUUUAUAGAUUACAGGAGACUUCAAUGUGUUCUGUACUCAGACUGUUACUGUGAUGUUGCUGUCUGUCUCAGUUCUAAUAAAGUUGGAUUUGGAAAAUAACAU